rnacentral:rRNA from 1 species
CAUGCUGUAAACGAUGUCAACUAGCCGUUGGGGACCUUGAGUCUUUAGUGGCGCAGCUAACGCGAUAAGUUGACCGCCUGGGGAGUACGGUCGCAAGACUAAAACUCAAAUGAAUUGACGGGGGCCCGCACAAGCGGUGGAGCAUGUGGUUUAAUUCGAUGCAACGCGAAAAACCUUACCCACCUUUGACAUGGUCGGAACCCUUUAGAGAUAGAGGGGUGCUCGAAAGAGAGCCGAUACACAGGUGC